GAGGAGCCGGUGUGAGCAGCACAGGAGUCCUCCACACCUCAGCAACUUUGUGCUCUCUGUUCCACCAGAGUGAACCAGGUUUCAUCUGAGCAGUGCAGUUCUCCACGAGCAGGAUUGUGGCACAGCUCACUCAGAGGAAUGGAGCAGCUCUUUGGGAAGUUCUGGGAACCCUUUGGUUUGUCAUUGCUGCAUCAGCAGGGGAGGGAAUCACUCCUGAGUGAUUGACUGGAAGAAAAGUGAGCACAAGGUCACUGCCUGUGGAGCAGAGCUGAGUGCUCCAUUGGACAAGAGGAGUUGAGGCCACCAUGCUCUGUGCUGUGAGCUUCCCAGCUCGUCCACCUGGGAACUGCAAAAUCCCCUUUCCGUAUACAGGUAGGAAAUCACAUUGAAUAUUUCAGCCAGUCAGGUAGAAAUGGGGGCAGCACCUCAGAAGCUGCUUCUGAACCACUCCCUGAUUUCCAAGGCAGCCAGAGUGGCACGUUGGGAGCUGUUGGAGCAGGCACCAGGCUCCCUCAGAGCCCGAGCCCAGGCAGGGAUCAGCGUGCUCUGGCCAUCCUGCCUGUCCCAGCUUGCCCUGAACCACCUUCCUGUCUGCCCCAAAAAUCCCUUCUCCCCACUCAAAGGAUGUAAAGGGAACAUGGAGCACAGCACAGAACAAUUCUUCAGUCUCUGGAGCCAUUAAAAACAUUUUUGAUAAAGGUACAUACACGCACAGCUGAGUUCCAGUGAACACCUUCUUGUUUCUCAUGCUAAUUUUGUAUUGUUCCUGAAGCAGAGCCUGAUUUUUCUCUUUGUGAAAGGAGAAUUUUAAUUCAGGUCCUAUUCAUUCAUCAUAUCAAAACCCAAGGUAAGCUGAUGUUAUUUUUCAGUAAUUUUAAGGUGCUAGUGUAUUAGUAAAAGGUUAAGAAAUUCAAAAUAGCUGUUAAGGGUUUGGGUUUUUUUCUUGAAGUGUUUGGUUUCCUCAUACCAUUGCAGACUACAUAUAUCUUUAUUUCUCAGUAAGAGCAAACUGUGGCCCUGAACCUCUACAAUUCUAAACACAAGCAAAGAUAAUGGCUUUUUCAAAGAACAAACUGUUCCACAAAAAAAUGAGCACAAUCACAAAAAGAAGCAUAAACUUCUUUCUGCCUGGUGGUGGCUUCCAAGACGUCAGACAUUUUGUAAACCAGCGAUCGGAUCCAGACCACGCAGAAUUGGGACAGUCCUGCUUUUCCUGUUAAUUUUUCCACUCUGAGAGUGUCCAAAACUCUCUGAAAUAAAGGAUUACUGUCUAGGGGUUCAGAAAGUCAUAUUUUCAUAGAACAGUUCAUUCUGACAGGUAACCCCAGGAAGCACACAAGCUGUUCUAUUAAAUGUCGUGGCCUUAAGCUUAAAAAUGUAUCCCACAUCCCAAGCCCGAGUGUUUGUUUGUUUUCAGGAGUGUUUUCAGUGCUGCUGUGGCCCAGAGUUUAGAUCAGUGGUUUAGCUGCCUACACCUCAUUUAGAGGUUGUAAGCAAGUGAGACCCAGUUUGGUUUAGUGUUGAGCAAAUUAUCUUCACCCUUUUGCCACUAAAUCACUGUACAAGCACAAGCAAACCACUCAGCUCUUCCCCUCCUUCCCCUUAUUCAAAUGUACCCAGGCCAUGACUUGUGAUAUGACUGUGAGGAGUGAAGAUCAGCCCGUGAAUAUGGGCAGAAAAUUCUAGAAGCUCUGCUGAACCAAGGUCACAGCAUGAAUUCUGAGUGAUAAGAUUUGAGUAUUAUCAAAAUAUUUUUAGAUUUUGCAUGGAAUGGUGCCCAUGGUUUUCUAUCCAAAACAGCCAGAAUGAAAUGUUGGUCUCCAGAACAGAAACCUGCUCUGAGAUCUCACCCUGAUGUAAUAUGGAUUUACCACGUCUGAGGCAGGUCCUUCAGCCUCUGGGCUUGCAAAAUGUGCUGGGCCAAGAACUGAGAAAAUAGAAAAAGAUUAUUUAACUUCACCCCAUCUCAAAAUGUAAUACGAAUAUUUCUGCAUUUAAAAAAUGUAUCUAACUUCCCCAUCUAUGUUUCACUUGGUUCACAAUAGUCUGCCCAUUUUCUAAAGCUGUGAACAACAACUUUUAAAUAAGAGAUCAGAUCCCUAAAUAAUCACAAACUUUUCAGAAAAACACAAAUAUACAGUGAGUCAACAGCACUAGCAGGUCAGUAACUGAGGCAUCCUGCUUUUAGUGUAAAUAGUAUCAAGAAUUUUUUUGCAUUGCUUUAGAGGGAUUGAGGAGAUAUUUCCUGAAACAAUGUUGGGAUCAUCUACAGGGGUUCCACAUCUUUGUACUUCAGGCAUCUCAACUGAAGCAGCCAAAAACUGGGUCAGGGCAGCAGUCCAAAAUUUUAGCGGUGAGCCUCCAAAAUUCAAGACACUCAGGGAAUGCAUGUUGGGGAAUAAUGUGAGAAUGCUGAAGGGAAAAAA